GAGGGUCUAGCUCAGUGGUAGAGUGUGUGCUUAGCAUGCAUGAGGUCCUGGGUUCAAUCCCUGGUACUUCU
rnacentral:tRNA from 1 species